rnacentral:tRNA from 1 species
GGGAGCAUAGCUCAGCUGGUUAGAGCACCUGCCUUACAAGCAGGGGGUCAC